rnacentral:tRNA from 1 species
AGCGGGGUAGGCCAGCCAGGUAGGCCGCGGGGCUCAUAAAGGGCCUAAGGCCCGAGGAGCCCCGAGGUCCCGGGUUCAAAUCCCGGCCCCGCUA